rnacentral:tRNA from 1 species
GCCAGGGUCGCAUAAUCUGGUAUUGCGUCGAGCUGAAAACUCGAGGUCUGCCCAGGCCAUGUGGGUUCGAAUCCUGUGAUUUGAAUUGCGGGCGAAUGCUUAAAAACCUUCGGUUUUUGGCACCUCGAGAAUCUGAGAUUCUCAAGGAUUCCCGCCCCUGGCG